GGUUUUGUAGUUGAAAAACAAUAGCGAAUUGCAGUUUCGUUGGUGCCAGGCGGCUGAAAUCUA
rnacentral:tRNA from 1 species